GGAGUGUUACAUUCGAAGAGUUUCUGGUUGUAUUUCGCAUUCACAAAUUGUUGGUUCUGUAAUUUUUAGUGCAAAACACAUCUUCUGUGGUGUAUUUUGUCUGCAGUUUAUAGACAGGGAUUGAAGAAUCUAACAGCGUUCCUGCCUGUGAAUACGUUUUGACAACAUGAGCUGGUCGCAUGGUUCAACGCAAGCCGAAGCUGGGU